GAUGAACGCUGGCGGCGUGCCUAAUACAUGCAAGUCGAGCGAAGCGGGGACGGGUGAGUAACACGUGGAUAACCUCCUAUAAGCCUGGGAUAACUUCGGGAAACCGGAGCUAACCAGGAACCUUAUCGAUGGAUCAGCGCUGCAUUAGCUAGUUGGUAAGGUAACGGCUUACCAAGGCCACGAUGCCUAGCCGACCUGAGAGUGUGAUCGGCCACACUUGAACUGAGACACGGUCCAGACGCCUACGGUAGGCAGCAUGAGGGAAUCUUCCGCAAUGGUCGAAAGCCUGAUGGAGCAACGCCGCGUGAGUUAGGAAGGUCUUCGGAUCGUAAAACUCUGUUAUUAGGGAAGCGGUACCUAAUCAGAAAGCCACGGCUAACUACGUGCCAGCAGCCGCGGUAAUGC
rnacentral:rRNA from 1 species